rnacentral:rRNA from 1 species
CCUACGGGAGGCAGCAGUGGGGAAUAUUGGACAAUGGGCGAAAGCCUGAUCCAGCCAUGCCGCGUGUGUGAAGAAGGCCUUCGGGUUGUAAAGCACUUUCAGUGGGGAAGAAAGCCUUGGGGCUAAUACCCUCGAGGAAGGACAUCACCCACAGAAGAAGCACCGGCUAACUCCGUGCCAGCAGCCGCGGUAAUACGGAGGGUGCGAGCGUUAAUCGGAAUUACUGGGCGUAAAGCGCGCGUAGGCGGUCUGAUAAGCCGGUUGUGAAAGCCCCGGGCUCAACCUGGGAACGGCAUCCGGAACUGUCAGGCUAGAGUGCAGGAGAGGAAGGUAGAAUUCCCGGUGUAGCGGUGAAAGGCGUAGAGAUCGGGAGGAAUACCAGUGGAGAAGGCGGCCUUCUGGACUGACACUGACGCUGAGGUGCGAAAGCGUGGGUAGCAAACAGGAUUAGAUACCCGAGUAGUC